CGAAGAAGAAGAGAAAAAGUUGGCAAGUACGCAAUUAACCUUUAUCCAUUACGCUGAUACGCUCACCAAAUUCAGAUCGUUCCAGAUAAAUUGCUUAAACCGUCUUAUAAUACGUAUCCAGGGAGAAGAAGAAGAAUAAUCAUUUUCUCGAAUUCUAUGGAUCGGAUGCUCUAGAAUCACCCGCAACAGCUAGGGUUUCUGAUUCCGUGCUUUUUCAUUUCGGAGUCGUAUGCGUAUGCUACGUGUAUAUCAUCAUCACACAUAUGAUUGAUAGAAUGAUACAAUAAUGCAUAGUGGUUAUACCUAGAGUGACAGUGUGGUUCAAGCUGGGGAGUGGAAUCUCCGGAAUCAAACUCUGCUGCAAUUUCGCCGUUUGGAUUAGGUUGAUUUUCCGAAUGGAUAUCGAUUCUCCUCCAUCGCGGACCCCAGAACCCAAUAUCCUCAGUCGACUGUGUAUCCGUGAGAGGCUUGAGAUACUUGGAGUCCCUAAGGAGAAUUUGGAACAACUUCAGCCUGGACUAGUUGAUUAUGUAAAGAAUAAUAAGUCUCAAAUUGCUGAGAUUGUCUCAGCUAUCUUGCCUACAGAUGAUGAGGCAGUGAAGGCUGUUAAAGAAGAUGCAGCAGAAUCUCCAAAGGCGAGGGGUGGCUCAGGUAUUGAAGAUUUAUACCAUGAAAGUAUGGUUUGGUUACAGUGGUUGAUGUUUGAAGGUGAUCCGUGCACAGCACUGGAGCACCUAGCUAGUUUGAAUGUUGGUCAACGCGGUGUUUGUGGGGCUGUCUGGGGAAACAAUGAUAUUGCGUAUAGGUGCCGGACAUGUGAGCAUGAUCCUACAUGUGCAAUAUGUGUGCCGUGUUUCCAGAAUGGUAACCACAAGGACCAUGACUAUUCUAUUAUAUAUACUGGUGGCGGAUGCUGUGAUUGUGGGGAUGUCACUGCAUGGAAGCGUGAAGGUUUCUGUUCCAAGCAUAGAGGUGCAGAGCAGAUACAACCACUUCCAGAUGAUUAUGCAAACUCUUUGGGACCUGUCCUUGAUUCAUUACUUUCUUGCUGGGGAAAAAGGCUGCUGUCUGGAGAAACUAUUUCUAUGUCAAGUCCUGGAGCUGAUAAUCACACUGUUGAGCUUAAAAAGGCAGCAGAAGAGCUGACAUCUGUAGUGGUGGAGAUGCUCUUGGAAUUCUGUAACUCAAGUGAGAGUUUACUUAGUUUUAUUUCUGGGAAAGUAUUCUCUUCAGCUGGUUUAUUAGAAAUUCUAGUGAGAGCGGAGAGGUUUAUGGGUGAAGAGGAUGUUGUCAGGAAGCUACAUGAGUUACUUCUGAAACUGUUGGGUGAACCUCAAUUUAAGUACAAGUUUGCAAAAGAAUUUCUGAGCUAUUAUCCCACUGUAGUCAAUGAAGCCAUAAAAGAGUGUAUUGAUACAGUUUAUAAAAAAUAUCCGCUGCUCUCUACAUUCUCUGUGCAGAUAUUUACAGUGCCUACUCUAACUCCGCGUCUUGUUAAAGAAAUGGAUCUUUUGGCUAUGCUGUUAGAAUGUUUAGAAGAGAUAUUUGUUUCUUGUUCUGGAGAAGACGGUCGAUUACAGGUUGCAAAAUGGGAACGUUUGUAUGAGACUACUCUUCGUGUGGUUGAAGAUAUCCGAUUUGUUAUGAGUCAUUCUGUUGUGCCGAGAUAUGUGACUCGUGAUAGGCGAGAUAUACUAAGAACAUGGAUGAAACUGUUGUCUUUUGUGCAAGGAAUGAACCCCCAGAAGAGAGAAAUUGGAAUUCAUGUGGAAGUAGAAAAUGAAAAUAUGCAUUUACCCUUUGUGUUGGGUCAUUCAAUUGCAAACAUUCAUUCUCUAUUAGUGGGUGGUGCAUUCUCUGCUUGUGAUGAGACUGAAGAGGAUGAUUUGGUCAACUCAUGUAUACCAGAUUUUGAAGAGCAAGAUAGCCAGAGGCAUGCAAAAGUUGGACGGUUAUCACAGGAAAGCUCUGUUAGUAGUGUGACAAAUAGGGGUUCAUUUGAUCAUAUGUCUAAGGCUACUGAGAAUUCUCUAUUUCCACCAUCUGUCUUAUGGUUAGCUUUUGAGUGUUUGAGGGCUAUUGAGAAUUGGUUGGGAGUAGAUGAUACAUCAGGACCACUACUUUACCUCCUAUCUCGCAAUACUAGCCCUAGCUCUGGCAGUAAUCUUUUAGCAUUGAGGAAAACACUUUCUAAGUUCAGAAGAGGCAGACAUGUUUUUAAGUUAUACGGUGGACCUCUACCUGUUAACAAUAAAGUUACAAGUAAACAUCCUUCUCGUAGUACUGUUAACUUAGAUUCUGCUCAAAAUUUGGACCAAGAAAUUACUGGAACCAGUGGUUCUAAUGACAGUAUACAGGAAGGAGAUUAUACUCCUGAAUUAGAAGCCCUCCGUGUGCUUAGUUUGUCUGAUUGGCGUGAUAUUGCAUAUACAGUUAGUGUGCAAGAUAUAUCUGUUCACAUUCCAUUGCAUCGGCUACUUUCAAUUAUUUUACAGAGGGCAUUAGGUAAAUGUUAUGGUGAAAGUGUUGCUUCAUCAUUGCCCAUACAUCAUGAUUUUUUUGGCUAUGUUCUGGGAGGCUGUCAUCCACAUGGAUUCUCUGCUUUUGUUAUGGAGCAUCCUCUUCGGAUUAGGGUGUUCUGUGCUCAGGUACAUGCUGGAAUGUGGCGUAAGAAUGGUGAUGCUGCCAUAUUGUCCUAUGAAUGGUAUCGUUCAGUUCGAUGGUCUGAACAAGGUUUAGAGCUUGAUCUCUUUAUGCUUCAGUGCUGUGCUGCCCUGGCUCCCGCUGAUCUUUUUGUCAAGAGAGUCUUGGAACGUUUUGAGUUAUCAAAUUACCUUUUAUUAAAUUUUGAACAGUCUAGUGAGUAUGAAUCAACUUUGGUGCAAGAAAUGCUGAUUCUUAUUAUACAAAUAGUGAAAGAACGCCGUUUCUGUGGGCUAACUAGCAGUGAAUGUUUGCAAAGAGAAUUGUUAUAUCGGUUAUCCAUUGGAGAUGCUACUCGCAGUCAAUUGGUAAAGUCUCUUCCUCGUGAUCUAUCGAAGAUUGAUAAGCUUCAGGAAGUUUUGGACUCCAUAGCUGUGUAUUCUAACCCCUCUGGCACGAAUCAGGGCAUGUAUAAAUUGCGGAAGCCGUAUUGGAAGGAACUUGAUUUGUAUCAUCCUCGUUGGAAUUCAAGGGAUUUGCAAGUUGCAGAAGAAAGAUAUAUGCGGUUCUGUAAUGUUUCUGCUUUAACCACUCAACUACCAAAAUGGACGAAAGUUUAUCCACCUCUUGGUGGGAUUGCACGAGUAGCAACUUGUAGGACAACUCUCCAAAUUAUCCGCUCUAGUCUAGUUUAUGCUGUUUUUCCAAAUAAGGCUAAUGCUUCUCGUGCCCCUUAUGAUGUUCUUUUAACUGUGCUGCAUUUACUAUCACUAGCAUUGGACAUUUGUUAUGUGCAAAAGGGAUCUGGUGACCCUUCUUGUUAUGAAGGCGAUGUGAUUCCUCUUUUGGCACAUGCUAUUGAGGAAGUUUCAAUUAGUAAAUAUGGUGACCAGAGUUUGCUGUCUCUUCUUGUUUUGCUGAUGAGGAAAUACCAGAAAGAGAAUGAUUUCAUGGAAAUUGGAAAUUUUAACCUUUCAUCUUUGGUUGAAAGUUUGCUGAAGAAGUUUGCUGAGCUUGAACAUGGAUGCAUGACCAAACUCCAAAGCCUUGCACCUGAAAUGGCCAAUCAACUCUUACAGUCUCUUCCCGGGGGUGAUGUUAAUGGCUCGGGGUCACUUUCAGAUAGUGACAAGCGCAAGGCUAAAGCUCGAGAGAGACAAGCUGCAAUACUGGAGAAAAUGAGGGCUGAGCAAUCAAAGUUUUUGGCAAGCAUUGGUUCCACUGAAGAUGCCGGAGCUGAUGAUUCUGAAUUUGUAAAAGAAGAAUGCGAUGCUGAUGUUGGACAUACUUCUGAAGAAGAUAUGUCAAUAACUUGUUCUCUCUGCCAUAAUUCAACUUCUAAGAGUCCCUUAUCAUAUCUAAUUCUUCUUCAGAAAUCAAGGCUUCUAAGUCUUGUGGACAAAGGGCCUCCUCUAUGGGAACAAACUCGCCGCUCAGGGAAAGAGCCUAUGUCCACUGUCGCAAAAACAGUUGUUUCUUCUCCCAGGAGCAAUAUCUCAAGCAGUUCAGAUGUUGUCUCAUCAUUUCAGUUAACUCCAUUAAUUCAAGAUGCAGUCAAUGAUUUUGCUUCAGAAGGGCAACCUAGAGAAGUAGAAAGGUUUAUGGAAUUUAUCAAGUCCCAUUUUCCCUCUGUGAAGAACAUUCAACUUCCUUGCACACCAAACAUUGCAGUGGAGAAAAUGGAAACUUCUCUCUUCCAGUCAUUUGAUGAGUACAUGUACUCAUUGAUUCAGGAAAGAAUGCACCACAAUGUUUCACGUUUAGAAGUUAUAUGGAGCAAGAGAAAACCUCCAUCUGAACAGGACAGUGUGGUCUGCAAGGGAAAUGUUGAAUCAUUUGUGCUUGGAAAAUACAUUGCUGCUCUUGCUAGAGAAACACCGGAUAAUCCUUCUGGAUCAGGAAAUGAAUAUAAGUCGGUGUCGGAGCCUAGGAAGCAGGUUACUGCAUAUGAUGGCUUUGGCCCCUCAGAUUGUGAUGGGAUUUAUCUCUCAUCCUGUGGGCAUGCAGUGCAUCAAGGGUGUCUAGAUCGCUAUUUACAAUCACUUAAAGAAAGAUAUACAAGAAGAAUUGUUUUUGAAGGUGGUCAUAUAGUUGAUCUGGAUCAGGGAGAGUUCCUCUGUCCUGUUUGUCGUGGGCUUGCAAAUUCAGUCCUUACGAGACUGCCCAAAGAUGUAAAAAUAGCACCACCAGUUGAUUCAUCCCGCUUUAUAUUAGAUUCCAGUGGCUGUUUAGCCUCGUCGAAUAGAGUAGCAACUUCACUGCAUGUUAAGGAAGCCAUGUCCCUCCUGCAAAGUGUGGCUGAUAUUGCUGAGAGUUGUGAGAUUCUUAGAGCUCUUCCAAUGCAAGAAUAUGGAAGGUCAAGAUCAAAUCUUGAAUCUGUUUCUAGUGUACUUGGUGGAAUGUACUAUCCAGGCGGUGAUAAGAUUUUGAAAUCUGAUAGGCUAAGCCCUACAUUAAUUUUGUAUGACACAUUUAAGUACUCCCUCAUGUCAACAGAAGUUGCUGCUCGAUCCAGAAAGACUUCAUUGGCAUCAAACUGCACCCUUGGUUCGCUGUAUAAAGAACUCAAGUCUUCAAAUGGUUUUAUAUUGUCUUUGCUGCUUAGUACUGUAAAUAGGACAAGAACAAAGAACUCACUUGAUGUCCUUAUAAGAUUAAGAGGCAUCCAGCUUUUAGCAGUGUCUAUAUGCUCAAGCAUUUUUAUAGGUGAAAACCCAAGCAAUAGAUGCAGUGGUAAUAUGCAAGAAAUCUUGAAACUUACUGAUAUCGAAGUUCAGUACCCUGAUGUGCAGUUUUGGAACCGGGCUUCUGAUCCUAUUCUUGCCCAUGAUGCUUUUUCAUCACUAAUGUGGAUAAUUUAUUGUCUUCCUUGUCCUUUUCUUUCAUGCGAGGAGACCUUUUUGUCUCUUGUUCAUCUCUUUUAUGCCAUAACCAUAAUUCAGGGGAUAGCAACAUACUGCAAAAAGCAACAAUUCAGUUUGAGUGAAUUAGACCAUUAUGAUGGUCUGGUUAUAGAUGUCUACAAAGUUAUGGGAGACUUAAGAGCUACCGGUGGUUAUUUUGAUUCUAACCAUAUCAAAACAUCUUGUGAUAUCACGGAGGCAAUUCGUAGCCUGAGCUUUCCUUAUUUGCGACGAUGUGCACUACUGUGGAAAUUAAUUCAUUCUUCAACCUUGGUUCCAUUUAGUGAAGGGUCUUGCAUGUCAGAUGGAUUAUCAAAAUCAACAGAUGAGAUGAUGCAAAGUGCUGAGGAUUCUGCAGAGGAUCUCUUAGAAAUAGGAAAACUGGAGAAGAUAUUUAAAAUUCCCCCACUUGGUAUUGUUCUUAAUGAUGAAUUUUUACGGUUUGUAGUUCCAGGAUGGUUCCGUUGUCUUUCCAAGGAGUUUCAAGAUUGUAAUAAACAGUGUGUUCUGUAUUCCACCCCGGCUGUCCCAUUCAGAUUAAUGGUUUUGCCUCAUCUUUAUCAGGAUUUGUUGCAAAGGUAUAUUAAGCAACAAUGCACCGACUGUGGGAGUGUUCCUGAGGAACCUGCAUUAUGCCUGCUCUGUGGUAAACUGUGCUCGCCAUCCUGGAGAACAUGCUGCAGGCAAAACAGUUGCCAAGCUCAUGCACUGGCCUGUGGUGCUGGUACUGGGGUGUUCUUGUUAAUUCGAAAAACCACAAUCUUGCUUCAAAGGUCUGCUCGUCAAGCACUGUGGCAUUCACCUUACUUGGAUGCAUUUGGUGAAGAGGACAUUGAGAUGCAUAGAGGGAAGCCAUUGUAUCUGAAUGAGGAACGCUAUGCAGCUCUGACGCAUAUGGUGGCUUCUCAUGGCCUUGAUAGAAGUUCCAAGGUGCUCCGUCAAACAUCUGUUGGUGCCUUUUUCAUGCUUUAGCUUCAAUCAUUGUCAUAGCAAUGUUCUAAUAGAGGUAAAAGAAUUCUAAAAGUUGUGCCAGAUGCUAAGAGGCUGCUGUCCAUAUUUCCAAGUUUUGGUUCAAAUGCAAGAGGGAUCCACAAGUGAGUGUUGUCCAUUAUGGUCACAUGUACAGCAUAUUUAGAUAUCUACGUGGGAGAUAUGUCUGGUUUCCUUUUGCCAGGGCACGGUGGCAGCUGGUUUGCGAGGCUGCAAACAUACUGCCGCACAUGCUGCUACUGUAUAGUUGUGCAUAUGAAAAAAAAAAAAAAAUUAGUCUGUCAAUUUGUAAUCUAUUCACCUUCUCAUCUCUACGUGAGAUAUAUAUGUACUUUAAUUUGCUUGGGCUCUUUACUCUUUACUCAACCCGUUUCUUAGCUUUCUAAAAUAUUGCAUUGGUUCCUUAUAGUGACAAUUUCAGUCCAAUCAAUAAAAGUCAUAAAUUUCUAAUGCC